GAUGAACGCUGACAGAAUGCUUAACACAUGCAAGUCUACUUGAACUUCGGUUUGGGUGGCGGUCGGGUGAGUAACGCGUAAGGAACUUGCCUCACAGUUAGGGACAACAUUUGGAAACGAAUGCUAAUACCUGAUAUUAUGAUUUUAGGGCAUCCUAGGAUUAUGAAAGCUAUAUGUGCUGUGAGAGAGCUUUGCGUCCCAUUAGCUAGUUGGAGAGGUAACGGCUCACCAAGGCGAUGAUGGGUAGCCGGCCUGAGAGGGUGAACGGCCACAAGGGGACUGAGAAGGCACCCUUACUCGUACUGGGGGCAGGAGUGGGGAAUAUUCAACGAUAGACCAAGUGUCUGAUCCAGCUAUUCUGUGUGCACGAUGACGUUUUUCGGAAUGUAAAGUGCUUACAGUUGGGAAGAAAAAUAUGACGGUACCAACAGAAGAAGGGACGGCUAAAUACGUG
rnacentral:rRNA from 1 species